AACGAACGCUGGCGGCAGGCUUAACACAUGCAAGUCGAACGCGUGUAGCAAUACACGAGUGGCGCACGGGUGAGUAACGCGUGGAUAUCUGCCUUUUGGUUCGGAAUAACCCCCGGGAAACUGGGGCUAAUACCGGAUGGUUCCUUCGGGAUAAAGAUUUAUCGCCAAAAGAUGAGUCCGCGUCCGAUUAGCUAGUUGGUGAGGUAAUGGCUCACCAAGGCGACGAUCGGUAGCUGGUCUGAGAGGACGAUCAGCCACACUGGGACUGAGACACGGCCCAGACUCCUACGGGAGGCAGCAGUGGGGAAUAUUGGACAAUGGGGGCAACCCUGAUCCAGCCAUGCCGCGUGAGUGAUGAAGGCCUUCGGGUUGUAAAGCUCUUUUGGCGGGGACGAUGAUGACGGUACCCGCAGAAUAAGCCCCGGCUAACUUCGUGCCAGCAGCCGCGGUAAGACGAAGGGGGCUAGCGUUGUUCGGAAUUACUGGGCGUAAAGCGAGUGUAGGUGGUUGUCCAAGUUGGAUGUGAAAGCCUUGAGCUUAACUCAAGAAAUGCAUUCAGGACUGGGCGGCUAGAGGACCGGAGAGGAUAGUGGAAUUCCCAGUGUAGUGGUGAAAUACGUAGAGAUUGGGAAGAACACCAGUGGCGAAGGCGGCUAUCUGGACGGUUC
rnacentral:rRNA from 1 species